rnacentral:rRNA from 1 species
UACGUAGGGAGCGAGCGUUGUCCGGAAUUACUGGGCGUAAAGGGUGCGUAGGCGGCAAUGCAAGUCAGAUGUGAAAUCCCCGGGCUCAACUCGGGUUCUGCAUUUGAAACUGCGUUGCUUGAGUGCAGGAGAGGAAAGCGGAAUUCCUAGUGUAGCGGUGAAAUGCGUAGAUAUUAGGAAGAACACCAGUGGCGAAGGCGGCUUUCUGGACUGUAACUGACGCUGAGGCACGAAAGCGUGGGGAGCAAACAGG